rnacentral:rRNA from 4 species
AUAGAUCCUGAAACCGUAUGCUUACAAAAAGUAGGAGCCUCGUAAGGGGUGACUGCGUACCUUUUGUAUAAUGGGUCAGCGACUUACAUUCAGUGGCAAGGUUAACCGAAUAGGGAAGCCGUAGAGAAAUCGAGUCCGAAUAGGGCGAAUUAGUCGCUGGGUGUAGACCCGAAACCAAGUGAUCUAUCCAUGGGCAGGAUGAAGGUGCCGUAACAGGUACUGGAGGUCCGAACCGACUAAUGUUGCAAAAUUAGCGGAUGACCUGUGGAUAGGGGUGAAAGGCUAAACAAACUUGGAAAUAGCUGGUUCUCUCCGAAAACUAUUUAGGUAGUGCCUCAAGUAUUACCUGCGGGGGUAGAGCACUGUUUUGGCUAGGGGGUCAUGGCGACUUACCAAACCAAUGCAAACUCCGAAUACCGCAGAGUACAGCUUGGGAGACAGAGCACCGGGUGCUAACGUCCGGACUCAAGAGGGAAACAACCCAGACCGCCAGCUAAGGUCCCUAAAAUUGGCUAAGUGGGAAACGAAGUGGGAAGGCUAAAACAGUCAGGAUGUUGGCUUAGAAGCAGCCAUCAUUUAAAGAAAGCGUAAUAGCUCACUGAUCGAGUCGUCCUGCGCGGAAGAUGUAACGGGGCUAAGCCAGUUACCGAAGCUGCGGAUUUGCAAUUUAUUGCAAGUGGUAGGAGAGCGUUCUGUAAGCCUGUGAAGGUGCGUUGUAAAGCGUGCUGGAGGUAUCAGAAGUGCGAAUGCUGACAUGAGUAGCGUUAAAGGGGGUGAAAAGCCCCCUCGCCGUAAGCGCAAGGUUUUCUACGCAACGUUCAUCGGCGUAGAGUGAGUCGGCCCCUAAGGCGAGGCAGAGAUGCGUAGUUGAUGGGAAACAGGUAAAUAUUCCUGUACCGAUGUGUAGUGCGAUGUGGGGACGGAGAAGGUUAGCUCAGCAGACUGUUGGAUAUGUCUGUUCAAGCCUGUAGUCGUGCCUGGUAGGUAAAUCCGCCGGGCUUAGAUGAGGGGUGAUAACGAGGAUGCUUGCAUCCGAAGUGAGUGAUACCCUGCUUCCAGGAAAAGCCACUAAGCUUCAGCUACACACGACCGUACCGCAAACCGACACUGGUGCGCGAGAUGAGUAUUCUAAGGCGCUUGAGAGAACUCAGGAGAAGGAACUCGGCAAAUUGACACCGUAACUUCGGAAGAAGGUGUGCCUUUAGUAUGUGAACCUGUACAAGGGGAGCAGAAUGAGGCCUCAGAGAAUCGGUGGCUGCGACUGUUUAAUAAAAACACAGCACUCUGCAAACACGAAAGUGGACGUAUAGGGUGUGACGCCUGCCCGGUGCUGGAAGAUUAAAUGAUGGGGUGCAAGCUCUUGAUUGAAGUCCCAGUAAACGGCGGCCGUAACUAUAACGGUCCUAAGGUAGCGAAAUUCCUUGUCGGGUAAGUUCCGACCUGCACGAAUGGCGUAACGAUGGCCACACUGUCUCCUCCUGAGACUCAGCGAAGUUGAAAUGUUUGUGAUGAUGCAAUCUCCCCGCGGAAAGACGGAAAGACCCCAUGAACCUUUACUGUAGCUUUGUAUUGGAUUUUGAACAGACCUGUGUAGGAUAGGUGGGAGGCUUUGAAGCCGGAACGCUAGUUUCGGUGGAGCCAACGUUGAAAUACCACCCUGGUGUGUUUGAGGUUCUAACCUAGGUCCAUUAUCUGGAUCGGGGACAGUGCAUGGUAGGCAGUUUGACUGGGGCGGUCUCCUCCCAAAGCGUAACGGAGGAGUUCGAAGGUACGCUAGUUACGGUCGGACAUCGUGAUGAUAGUGCAAUGGCAUAAGCGUGCUUAACUGCGAGACUGACAAGUCGAGCAGAUACGAAAGUAGGACAUAGUGAUCCGGUGGUUCUGUAUGGAAGGGCCAUCGCUCAACGGAUAAAAGGUACUCUGGGGAUAACAGGCUGAUACCGCCCAAGAGUUCAUAUCGACGGCGGUGUUUGGCACCUCGAUGUCGGCUCAUCUCAUCCUGGGGCUGUAGCCGGUCCCAAGGGUAUGGCUGUUCGCCAUUUAAAGAGGUACGUGAGCUGGGUUUAAAACGUCGUGAGACAGUUUGGUCCCUAUCUUCCGUGGGCGCUG